AGAGUUUGAUCCUGGCUCAGAACGAACGCUGGCGGUAUGCUUAACACAUGCAAGUCGGACGCGAAAGUUUCUUCGGAAGCGAGUAGAGUGGCGCACGGGUGAGUAACACGUAGAUAACCUGCCCUUCAGUCCGGGACAACCUUCUGAAAAGGGGGCUAAUACUGGAUAAUACUUAUUAACGAGUGUUUUUAAGUUGAAAGAUUUAUUGCUGGGAUGGGUCUGCGCACCAUUAGCUGGUUGGUAGGGUAACGGCUUACCAAGGCUACGAUGGUUAGCGGGUCUGAGAGGAUGGUCCGCCACACUGGAACUGAGACACGGUCCAGACUCCUACGGGAGGCAGCAGUGGGGAAUUUUGCGCAAUGGGCGUAAGCCUGACGCAGCAAUACCGCGUGAGUGAAGAAGGCCUUUGGGUCGUAAAGCUCUUUUUUCAGGGAAGAUGAUGACGGUACCUGAAGAAUAAGCGCCGGCUAACUCCGUGCCAGCAGCCGCGGUAAUACGGAGGGCGCGAGCGUUGUUCGGAUUUACUGGGCGUAAAGGGCGCGUAGGCGGCAUAACAAGCUAAGGGUGAAAUCCCGGGGCUCAACUCCGGAACUGUUCUUAGAACUGUUAAGCUAGAGAUAGUUAGAGGCGGGUGGAAUUCCUGGUGUAGAGGUGAAAUUCGUAGAUAUCAGGAGGAACACCGGAGGCGAAGGCGGCCCGCUGGGACUAUUCUGACGCUGAGGCGCGAAAGCGUGGGGAGCGAACGGGAUUAGAUACCCCGGUAGUCCACGCCGUAAACGAUGAAUACCGGCUGUUUGGGAAAUCGACCUUCCAAGUGGCGCAGCUAACGCGUUGAGUAUUCCGCCUGGGGAUUACGGUCGCAAGACUAAAACUCAAAGGAAUUGACGGGGGCCCGCACAAGCGGUGGAGCAUGUGGUUUAAUUCGACGCAACGCGAAGAACCUUACCUGGGUUUGACAUCCCCUGCUUGUCACAGAGAUGUGAUUUUCUCUUCGGAGACAGGGUGACAGGUGCUGCAUGGCUGUCGUCAGCUCGUGUCGUGAGAUGUUGGGUUAAGUCCCGCAACGAGCGCAACCCUUGUCCUUAGUUGCCAGCACAUAAUGGUGGGAACUCUAAGGAGACUGCCGGUGUUAAGCCGGAGGAAGGUGGGGAUGACGUCAAGUCCUCAUGGCCUUUAUAUCCAGGGCUACACACGUGCUACAAUGGUGACUACAAAGAGUCGCGAAGCCGCGAGGUGGAGCUAAUCUCAAAAAAGUCAUCUCAGUUCGGAUUGCAAUCUGCAACUCGGUUGCAUGAAGUUGGAAUCGCUAGUAAUCGUAGAUCAGCGUGCUACGGUGAAUACGUUCCCGGGCCUUGUACACACCGCCCGUCACACCAUGGGAGUUGACAUUAGCAGAAUACAUUGAGCUAACUUUCGAGAGGCAGGUGUAGAAGCUAAUGUUGAUGACUGGGGUGAAGUCGUAACAAGGUA
rnacentral:rRNA from 1 species